rnacentral:tRNA from 1 species
GAGGGUAUAGCUCAAGUGAUAGAGUGCAUGCUUAGCACGCAUGAGGUCCGGGUUCAAUCGCCAGUACCGCCU